UAGCUAAACAACACGCGGCUGUUCUACGCUUUCGUUUCGCGACGUUUUUUCAAUGGGGCCCCAUGCGCGUUUUGCGUCGAUGCAAGGCACAUCACUUGUAUAUUCUAAUUGUAUUUGCGCUAUAAACGCGAAGCAAGAAGAUCAAAGAAUUGGUAAAGUAUAAAUCACAAUUGGCAUUAUUACGUACAUAAGCUCUUUUUUAGAAACCUCGGAGAUGUGACGUCACGAAGUGGUGAUGACGCAACAGAAGAACCCACUUCAACAUGUUAUGUGACGUCACAGAGGAUCAAGCGGACCAUGACGUAAAGAUGGAAUGAAGAAAAGUCAGCGAAUAAAGCUGCCGAAGAAAAGCGCAAGUCGAAGAACAAAGACGAAGACGCCAAAAAGGAUACACGGUUUGAGGUUUGAGUAUUAUAAGUAUGAGUUGCGUGUUGUAUGUAUGUCUGUCUGCGCUGUUGUACCUUUACUCUGCUGGACCUAAUGUUGCCAGCUAUUUUUAGUCAGUCACUACUAUAGUGCAUUUUACAUGUCUAUGAAAUAUAUGCAAUAAAACUAUGGCGAACAUCUUGCUGGAUCGGAUUUUGUUGUUGUACACUCUAUUGGGUACUUCUUCUGCAAAGAUCGAAUCUUUUAACGAUUUUGUAUUGUCCUAAUCGCUUGGUGAGAACGCUAUGUUGGUACACAAAUACUCGAGUAAUAUCAACACGCAGUAUAAUAUGCGCAUAAUAAAGGUCCAUAAUUUCCCCUUAAAGUCUAUAAAAUAUCAACUUCUCCAUUCCUAAUAAAAUAUUUAUA